rnacentral:sRNA from 1 species
GUUCGCUCCUCGCCGCCCGCCUGCUCCGAGUAGAACGCUGUCCGCAGCUUGCGCAUUUCGCAGCCGCUGCCGCCUCGCCGCUGCUCCUUCGUAACGCCACUUCCAGUCACCGACACCAACAUGAACGGACAGCUCAACGGCUUCCACGAGGCGUUCAUCGAGGAGGGCACGUUCCUUUUCACCUCAGAGUCGGUCGGGGAAGGCCACCCAGAUAAGAUUUGUGAUCAGAUCAGUGAUGCUGUCCUUGAUGCCCACCUUCAGCAGGAUCCUGAUGCCAAAGUAGCUUGUGGUAGGUUCAGAAUGUGCUUAUCAACUGGUGGAAAGAUAGCAUAAAAAUUAUUUUUAUAGACGUGAUGUUUGAGUUGAAUGUCUCUUUUUAUUAGAAACUGUCGCUAAAACUGGAAUGAUCCUUCUUGCUGGGGAAAUUACAUCCAGAGCUGCUGUUGACUACCAGAAAGUGGUUCGUGAAGCUGUUAAACACAUUGGAUAUGAUGAUUCUUCCAAAGGUGUGUUUUAAUGAUUUUACUCAUUUUUUCUAGGUAACAGCUGUGAGGUUUGAAGAAACUCCUAGAAUGUUCCUGC